GGCGGCGUAGCCAAGUGGUAAGGCAGAGGUCUGCAAAACCUCCAUCGUCGGUUCAAUUCCGACCGCCGCCUCCA
rnacentral:tRNA from 2 species